AGUACAUAUCUUAUUUUCUCAUUCUAUCUAACAACCUUGUACCAAAAAAAGAAUUCUAUCUAACGUCCAUAUUUCUCGAGAUGGUCACUAUGACUUGAGGAGAGUGCUGUUGCUUUCAGGAUUCAACUCAGGAUCAUAAUUCAUAACCUCUAAGCACUCCAAGAUCCACCAGUUUCUUUACAGAAGAACAUUGCUGGCUUUCAGAUCUCUAUGGAUUACUGUAAGUCGAGAAUCCUCGUGAAGGUCACAAGACCAGAACCAAUUCCAUUCCAUGUUUUGGGAUACUGUAUAAAAAAAAGCAUGUUUUAUUGCCUUCUGUAAUAGAUGCCGUGGUUGAACAAGGUGCUGUGUUUUCUGCUUUCUUAAGAACAUUGCUGGCUUUCAGAUCUCUAUGGAUUACUCUAAGUGGAGAGUCCUCAUGAAGCAACCCAAGAGUUUCACAAGGUUUCUGUGUUGCAAUUUAGCUAUGAAGAUUACUUCAUUCUUGAACUCCUCUGAACCUUGACCAGACAACUCUGCAAGCCUUUUGACAGCAACUUCUGUGCCAUCUGGGCCGUAUCCACCUUCUCCUAAUUUAGAUGACUCUGAAAAGUUAUUGGUGCUUUGUUGAAUUACAGUUAAAGGGAUUGUAGGAAGGUCUCCAUUCAAUGGAUCCUCUCUUUGAACAUGAUCAUGAAAAGCUAUAGUCCUGAACAGAAAACCACCUAGUAGCAAGGAAGCUAGAGCUUUUGGAUAGUGAUAUCAAACACCGGUCCCAAGUUUUGAAAAGACUGUGAUUAACAGAACUUUUUGUUUAUGUUCAGCAUGUGUAUUGGAAAUUUAACAUAAAAUGAAUAUUUUUGGAAGUUUCAAGAGACAAGAAGAAUGACUAAACCAGGGGGAAGUUAAUCGUGAUAGCAGAGACCUCAAAAAUCUUCAUUAAGAUCUCUGCAAUCCAGAUAUAAGGUUUACACUCUAGACUUAAAUAUAAGAAAAAAGGUACGUAUUUUGCCUAAAUACAUCUAUGUUUUUACUUGUAUCUAAAUCUGGUGGGAGUAUAAGAAAGUCUUCAUUCCCCAAAACAAGAUCUAACACAAAUUAACAAGCCAACAAUUAAUGUACCUGGAAUCGGCAUAGGAGAACGAGAUCCUGUUUGGUUAUUAACCUGGUAGAACCUAUAAUCAUCAUACUUCAC